rnacentral:rRNA from 1 species
CCUAAGCACAUGCAAGUCGAGCGAGAACUUCGGGUCUAGCGGCGUACGGGUUAGUAACGCGUGGGAACGUGCCCUUCUCUGCGGAAUAGCCACUGGAAACGGUGAGUAAUACCGCAUACGCCCUUCGGGGGAAAGAUUUAUCGGAGAAGGAUCGGCCCGCGUUAGAUUAGAUAGUUGGUGGGGUAACGGCCUACCAAGUCUACGAUCUAUAGCUGGUUUUAGAGGAUGAUCAGCAACACUGGGACUGAGACACGGCCCAGACUCCUACGGGAGGCAGCAGUGGGGAAUCUUAAACAAUGGGCGCAAGCCUGAUCUAGCCAUGCCGCGUGUGUGAUGAAGGUCUUAGGAUCGUAAAGCACUUUCGCCAGGGAUGAUAAUGACAGUACCUGGUAAAGAAACCCCGGGCUAACUCCGGUGCCAGCCAGCCGCGGUAAUAACGGAGGGGGUUUAGCGUUGUUCGGAAAUUUACUGGGCGUAAAGCGUUACGUAGGCGGAUUCAA